UACAGAGGUCUCAAGCGUUGUUCGGAUUCAUUGGGCGUAAAGGGUGCGUAGGUGGCGCCGUAAGUGGGGUGUGAAAUUUCGGAGCUUAACUCCGAAACUGCAUUCCAUACUGCGGUGCUUGAGGACUGGAGAGGAGACUGGAAUUCAUGGUGUAGCAGUGAAAUGCGUAGAGAUCAUGAGGAAGACCAGUGGCGAAGGCGGGUCUCUGGACAGUUCCUGACACUGAGGCACGGAAGGCCCAGGGGGAGCAAAACGGG
rnacentral:rRNA from 1 species